AGGGGAGUGGCUCAAUGGUAGAGUAGCGGUCUCCAAAACCGUCGGUUGCAGGUUCGAGUCCUGUCUCCCCUGCCA
rnacentral:tRNA from 1 species